GAGUAAGUGGUGUAGUGGUUUGAGUAUUGAACUAUGACUUCAGAGACCAGGGUUUGAAUCCCUGCUUGGCCA